AGACCCCACUGUAUUAUUAUAGAGCAAUAGAAGUAUCUGUUCUUAUCAGUUUAAUAUCUGGUACAUCCUCUAUCUGAGGACUACAUAUUAAAUGGAUUUUUGGAGCUGGGUUAGCCACCCAGAGUGGUCAACCAGACCAGAUGGGCGGGAUAUUUA
rnacentral:snRNA from 1 species